AAAUGAAUAGACGGGGGCCCGCACAAGCGGUGGAGCAUGUGGCUUAAUUCGAUGCAACGCGAAGAACCUUACCUGGGCUCGAACGCUGCUGGCUGGGACCUGAAAGGGUUCGUUCUUCGGACCGGCAGUGAGGUGCUGCAUGGCUGUCGUCAGUUCGUGUCGUGAGAUGUUGGGUUAAGUCCCGCAACGAACGCAACCCCUACUCUUAGUUACCAGCACGUGGUGGUGGGGACUCUAAGGGGACUGCCUGCGCAAGCAGUGAGGAAGGUGGGGAUGACGUCAAGUCAUCAUGGCCCUUACGCCCAGGGCUGCACACGUGCUACAAUGGUCGGUACAGAGGGCGGCGACGUCGUGAGGCGGAGCGAAUCCUCAAAGCCGAUCUCAGUUCGGAUCGGAGUCUGCAACUCGACUCCGUGAAGUCGGAAUCGCUAGUAAUCGCGUAUCAGCUACGACGCGGUGAAUACGUUCCCGGGCCUUGUACACACCGCCCGU
rnacentral:rRNA from 1 species